CAGUGAAUCGCUUCUUGAUCUUCUCAUGUACGUUAUCCUGAAUAAUGCGAAUUUAAUUUUGAUGCAAUUUAUACAUCCAGUGUGAUGUUUAAAGGCCACAUACAGUACAUUACAUUUUAUAAUGUGAUAUUAUAAAGCAAUAGAGAUCCUUAAUUGCAAGUGAUAUAAAACAUUAAAUUAUAAGACUAUUAUUGCAGAGGAAUCAAUGAUAAACUGACCAAAUUAAAUAAAAAAUAAAUCAUCACCCUCAUCCUCAUGUAAAAAUAAACGGCAUUGCAUCUUCCGUUCUUAUGCGUGAUAUAAUUAAGUUUGGUCAUCAAUCGCUAUGAGACCACUGAUUUUAACUUUUCAAGCAUCUAAUCUUGCUCAACGUUGCAUAGUUUUUGAUUUUCUUUGUAAUAAAAUAAAUGUCAGAAGGAAGGCCAAUUAUGUAAUA